UGCAGUCGAACGAUGAACCGGUUUCGGCCGGGGAUUAGUGGCGAACGGGUGAGUAACACGUGGGCAAUCUGCCCUGCACUCUGGGACAAGCCCUGGAAACGGGGUCUAAUACCGGAUAUGACGCGUUCCCGCAUGGGAUUCGUGUGGAAAGCUCCGGCGGUGCAGGAUGAGCCCGCGGCCUAUCAGCUUGUUGGUGGGGUGAUGGCCUACCAAGGCGACGACGGGUAGCCGGCCUGAGAGGGCGACCGGCCACACUGGGACUGAGACACGGCCCAGACUCCUACGGGAGGCAGCAGUGGGGAAUAUUGCACAAUGGGCGCAAGCCUGAUGCAGCGACGCCGCGUGAGGGAUGACGGCCUUCGGGUUGUAAACCUCUUUCAGCAGGGAAGAAGCGUGAGUGACGGUACCUGCAGAAGAAGCGCCGGCUAACUACGUGCCAGCAGCCGCGGUAAUACGUAGGGCGCAAGCGUUGUCCGGAAUUAUUGGGCGUAAAGAGCUCGUAGGCGGCUUGUCGCGUCGGAUGUGAAAGCCCGGGGCUUAACUCCGGGUCUGCAUUCGAUACGGGCAGGCUAGAGUUCGGUAGGGGAGAUCGGAAUUCCUGGUGUAGCGGUGAAAUGCGCAGAUAUCAGGAGGAACACCGGUGGCGAAGGCGGAUCUCUGGGCCGAUACUGACGCUGAGGAGCGAAAGCGUGGGGAGCGAACAGGAUUAGAUACCCUGGUAGUCCACGCCGUAAACGUUGGGAACUAGGUGUGGGCGACAUUCCCCGUUGUCCGUGCCGCACUAACGCAUU
rnacentral:rRNA from 1 species